AAGCAUUGGGUGGGAAGCACAUGCUCCAUGAUUCUGAAUAGUAAAGCAUUGGGUGAAAGAUAAAACUCAUAGAAAGAAGGGAAUGUCUUCUGCAGUUUAGUUUAAUCUGAUAGAAAAAAAAAUUACUCUAUCAGCGAACACUGAAUAGAAAUAUGCUCUUUUCGUGAUAAACGUGCCAAAACAUUAAACGCCAAUGGUAAUAAGGAUUGACAAUAUUACCUUUGAUUAUUAUUGUUGGACACAAAAAUCAUGUAGACUACAUAUAUUGUUGUGUUUUUAUCAGUCACGAGAAAAAAUCUAAGGGCUCGUUGGUCACCGGGAGUUAUAUGAAAAUCUGAAUUUAAAUUCGAUCAGACCAUGACAUAACAGAAUCAAUUACUGGAAACUAAUAAACUAAAAAAAACAGAGCAUAUAUUUCUAUGCCACAAUCCUCUUUAGUUCAUUUAUGGAAUAAUUCAUUAAAUAAUGAGAGCAAUCAACAUAUAUUGUUAUGCUAGCAUGAGGAUGCACAAAUCCGACAAAAGAAUCAUACAAAAUAAGUAAUGAAAUCACGAUUUAUCCAGAGUUCAAUUCCUCUUAACUUAAACAGAAUGAGUUCAUGAACAAGUGAAAUUCAGUAGGAACCAUACACAAUUAAAUUUAACUGUGUAUAAAAUUGUGCUAACCUUUCUUCAAAGAACAACUAAACAUGAUUCAUAAAGCGAGUUUCCCAUAAAUCUUUAUGCACUUUGAAGUAAGAACAACAAGCAAAUUGGACCGAAAGCCAAAUAAAUGCAAGAUGCUUCAAAUUAGAGCCCAGUAUAGCAAGAAAAUAAAUCCUUUAGCAGCAGUGACAGUACUGCGAUCCACGGCUCAAAAUGAUUCUCAGAAACCUCAAGAAGAAGGAAGUCGAACUCCAUUUUUAAGAGUCAAAAUCAAGGAGGAAGGAGCUGGAAUUUUGCAUUCUAGCGAGUGAAGGAGUGGAUAAUAGGGAAAGUUGCGCUCGAAAAAAAGGGGGAGGGGAUCUUUUGAUUCUUUGAUGUUAAAGAGAGAGAGCGAGAGACGCGCUAUUCUUUUUUAUUUUGCAGAGCUCCCCUCUAUUGAAGGUGAGUGCCAUUUUUUGCGUGUCUAAAAGAGAGAGGGGUCCGAUCUUUUAGGGUUAAGUAAAAAGGGGAUCUUUAAAGAGGGGAUUGGGCCGGUUCGGGUCGUGUAAUGAUUUGGGCUAGUUUUGGAAAUGGUAACAACCCAAUUUCAAUUAAAGGCCCCUUUUUCAAUUACCUCUUUUUUUAUUCCUAUUUUCCUUUUCCUCUCUUUUUUCUUUUUUUUAGUUAAAAAUCCUAAAUUUAAAAUACUAAAUUAAUCUAAAUUGCAAAAUUAAACUAAUUACCUAAUUACAAUAAUUAUAAAAAAUUAAUUAAUCCUACAUUAAAAGAGAAAGAUCACUAAUCUAAGCAUUAUAAGGUAAAAAAUAUAAAAUGAGCUAUUUUUGUGAUUUUCAUUUUUAAUACAACAAUUAAUUAACUAAUUGAUCCUAAAAAGUAUAAAACCAAAACUCUAAAUGCAAUGCAUGGUAUUUUGGUAUUUUUCAUGAUUUUAACAAGAAUUGAACAUGCACAAAAAUGUAAACAAUUAAUGAAAAUCCUAUAAAAUGGCAAAUAAUUAAAAAAAUCUAUUUUCUUUGAUUUUUAUAGGAGCAGUUCAUAUAGGGCAAAAAUCAGGUGCUCACAGCUGCCCCUCUUUGCUCGAAGACAUGAAGGGUUUUCGGGCAAAGAUAAAAUGAGCAAUUACGAGGGAUUUUAGCCCAUUCAAAACUCCAUGAGAAGCAUCUUUAGAAAAAGCCUGACCGAACCUUGCUUCGGAGGUUGCUUACAUAUCCUUGGCUAUAAAGGAAUCAUGUCAGUGUAGUUCUAGAAGUUUUGGUAGCUGGGACUACCAGGAAACUGUGAUUUCACUAUUAUUGAUGUUGUUUCUGCUUGUUGAGCUCCUUAUUACACCAAGAUGAAAUAUGAAAAGCUAAAACUAGAUAAUCCUAGCAACUAUGAGUUACAAGAUUCCUAUCUAUAAACCUUCUAAGCUUGAUCUUGAGUCUUGGCUGGUUCUUCUUGCAGACUCUUAUCUGAAUCUUGAUGCUCGUUAUCUACAGUUGCCAAUUCAUUUUUCUUCAGCAUUUUGGAUCAAGGCGGGACAUGAAAAACUUGUGACUUCAAUCAAAUUUUGAUCAGUCCGCAUCUUUUCUCCGCUUCUGCACCUUGAGUUCAACUUAUUUUUUCUUGUUUAUUCUUUUUUUUUAUUUGGGUUGAGACUUCUUCUUUUGAUUAUCUCAAACCUUGUGCCUCACGAUGAAAACCUGUUUAGGCUCCAAAGCAAACAAACAAACAAAAAAAUUUUGCCCUAGUUUUCACUAGGAAAAUUUCGUGAGUCAUUGUAACAAAGACUAUUUCAUUAUUUGAAAGAGAUAAAAUAAGGAUUGUGUAUCCUUGGGAAAAAGAGAUUAGGAGUGGAGCCUUAUAUCUAAAAUAAAAUCAACUAGGGAGCGGAGACCCUAUGUUGGAAAAGUGAAUAGGGAGUGGAGACCCUAUGUCUAAAAAGAAACUCAAUUAAGGAGAUGAGACCCCAGGUUGGAAAAGCGACUAGGGAGUGAAGACCCUAUGUCUAAAAUAAACUCAACUAAGGAGUGGAGACCCUAUGUUGUCAAAGGCGACUAGGGAGUAGAGACCCUAUGUCUAAAGAUAAACUCAACUAGGGAGUGGAGACCCUAUGUUGGCAAAGGAGACUAGGGAGUGAAGACCCUAUGUCUAAAGAUAAACUCAACUAGGGAGUGGAGACCCUAUGUUGGAAAGACAACUAGGGAGUAGAGACCCUAUGUCUAAAAAUAAACUCACUUAGGAGUGGAGACCCUAUGUUGGAAAGCGACUAGGGAGUGGAGACCCUAUAUCUAAAAAUAAACUUAAUUAGGGAGUGAAGACCCUAUGUUGGAAAGGCGAUCAGGGAGUGGAGACCAUAUGUUGGAAAAACGACUAGGGAGUAGAGACCCUAUGUCUAAAAUAAACUCAAUUAGAGAGUAGAGUCCCUAUGUUGAAAAGGCGACUAGGGAGUGGAGACCCUAUGUCUUAAAAUAAACUCAAUUAGGGAGUGGAGACCCUAUGUUGGAAAGGCGACUAGGGAGUGGAGACCCUAUGUUGAAAAGGCGUCUAGGGAGUGGAGACCCUAUGUCUAAAAAUAAACUCAACUAGGGAGUGGAGACCCUAUAUCUAAAAUAAAAUCAAUUAGAGAGUGGAGAUCCUAUGUUGGAAAGGCGACUAGGGAGUGGAAACCCUAUUUUGAAAAUAAACUCAACUAGGGAGUGGAAACCCUAUGUUGGAAAGGCGACUNNNNNNNNNNNNNNNNNNNNNNNNNNNNNNNNNNNNNNNNNNNNNNNNNNNNNNNNNNNNNNNNNNNNNNNNNNNNNNNNNNNNNNNNNNNNNNNNNNNNNNNNNNNNNNNNNNNNNNNNNNNNNNNNNNNNNNNNNNNNNNNNNNNNNNNNNNNNNNNNNNNNNNNNNNNNNNNNNNNNNNNNNNNNNNNNNNNNNNNNNNNNNNNNNNNNNNNNNNNNNNNNNNNNNNNNNNNNNNNNNNNNNNNNNNNNNNNNNNNNNNNNNNNNNNNNNNNNNNNNNNNNNNNNNNNNNNNNNNNNNNNNNNNNNNNNNNNNNNNNNNNNNNNNNNNNNNNNNNNNNNNNNNNNNNNNNNNNNNNNNNNNNNNNNNNNNNNNNNNNNNNNNNNNNNNNNNNNNNNNNNNNNNNNNNNNNNNNNNNNNNNNNNNNNNNNNNNNNNNNNNNNNNNNNNNNNNNNNNNNNNNNNNNCGUAGCUAGAGAUUGGAGACCCUAGGCUACCAUGAUUUUUUUGAAUUUUUCUUCUUCUUUUUCAUUUCAUUUUUUGAACAAUGAGUAAAAAUGUAGGAAAGAAUUCGGAUGAGACUUACCUUUGGGAUUGAUUAUUGCUGCAAAAGUUGUUUCUAGCCCUUACGUAGUUUCUUUUUGGUUACACCUGCUUCUUGCAAGGUUGCCUUGGAUUGUACCUGUUUUAUGUUUUCAAACAAAGAAAAAUUGUUAGUUUGAAAUGGUGGUUGGUUUCGUGGCCUUGAUUGUUUCAAUCACUUGAUCUCGACUCGACUUCUUUGAUGGAGAACUCAACUGCAACUGCUUGUUCCCUGAGGAUCGAUUUCAUUUCUGACCCUGGAGAACCUCUAGCUUUUCCAGACUUUGCCAUAACAGUUGGUCACGGGGGACUUAAGCUUUCAACUUGUUUCGCCUUUGUGGGCCUUUCCUUUUUGACUUCCUUUUCUUCUUCUUUUUUUUUUCUUUUUUUUAACUUCAUAGUAUUGGGGAAUUUUUGGCUCCUCUAACUUGGUCGCAAUGGCUAGUCGCGUGGGACUUAUCCUUUUCCAAUUUUAUUCAGCCUUUAUAGGCCUUUCAUUUCUGGCUUUUUCUUCCAGCUUCAGUUUCAGAGCAUUUGGGGUACCUUGGAUUUUCAAAACUUUGCCGAGACGGUUAGCCUCGUAGGACUCAACCCUUUCAACUUUCAAGAGUUUUCAAUUUCAAAACAUCAGCCACCUUGGACGGUCCAAGUCGACUUGAUGCCCCUAACGAGGCUGGGUGCCUUUUUGCAUUUUGGCUUGUAUGAAAUGAGACCCCUGUAAAUCAGUCUUACUAUCCUUUCUUUGUCUUAGUUUCGGAAUAGAGUUAGACCGAAAGGGAUUCAAAGAAAACAAACAAUGGAAUGGAGAAUGAGUUUAAAACAAGAAGUGUCCCUUUCGGGGAAAGGAAAAAAUGGACUUAUCUGGAGUACACGCAGACUUUAAUGAGCAUGACAUGCCUUUUGGACUGGAUGUCUGAUCUAUGUAAACCAUCCGACUCUCAGAAAUUCAUCACAACCUUUGCCUCAAAAUCGAGAAACCUUGCCAGGACUCUGUCGAUACCGAUGGCUGUGAGGAACUUCUUUUCGAUCAGUGGCGCCCUUUGCGGGGUUUCACUAGUUGUCCACUCUCUUUCUCUUCUCACCAUCACCUUAUAGUUCUCUUUGUAAGUUUUCACUAACAAGGCUUUCUCAUUUCUAGUUUUUCUGCUUACUGUCGCCUCACGGUGUCAAUGUGGGUUUUCACCAAUAAGACUCUCUCAUUUUAUUUCUCUGCUUACCAUCGUCUUACGGUGCUCGUGUGGGUUUUCACCAAUAAGACUCUCUCAUUUCAUUUCUCUGAUUUUGCUGUAUCAGAUCCAAGUAGUUGCAUUCUCCGAUCCUGGGACAUUCUUGCCGAUUGAUCGGAAGGACUUGAAAGGAUUUGGGUAAAGUAAUUUGGACUAAAUUACAAUUUUGGAACCAUUCAGGCGGGAUCAUCGCCGAACCAUUGUAAAUUAUGCCCCACUUUCAACUUUUGGGGAAUUUAGAUUUUUGUUAUGGUGUGACUGAACCCCAGAAAGAGGUUGCCUACGUAUCCUUUCGGAAUCAAGUCGAACGUGGUUCAGGAAACUUUAUUUUUUUUUAUUUUCGUAUAUUUUUAUUUUCUUUCUGUUUUAUUUUCUUUUCUUUUUCUUUUCUACGUAUCCCCCUUUUAUUUUCAUUUCAAUUUUUUUUUAAUUUUUUUUUAAUAACACUUUCAGGUUCCAAAGAGGGUAGUCAAAGAAGAGUAACCGGCUCAAAGGGUUUGCAAAGGGUGGAUAGUGUUUGGAUAACGAGAAUGAAAGCCUUCUUCAUCCCAACCAGAGAACAUUACUGUUAUAUAGAGGAUCCAACAUAGUACCUUUUGGCUGCAUUUGCAUUGACAGUUGUUUCAGGGACAUUUCCUUCUAUGUGUCCCAAAUACAACGCACUCUUUUGGCAGUACUCUUGUUGUAAUGUAUGAACCUUCCCAAUCUGGAACAAAUUUUUCUUCAGCUGUUCCAACUCUUUGUUUUAUUUACUUAAACUUAUCUUCACUGUGAUUCUAAUUCUUGAUUCAUUAUUUCGAGUUUUGAUCGCAUUUUAGGAUCUAGGAAUGAAGUCCGCAAGCAUGACAUGUUAUUGAAAUCUGCAUUUAACAGAACUAAAAAGAGAAUAAGAAAAAUGACAAGAUUAAGAAAAGAGAUGUUCCUGGACAAUGAAAUAUUGAUUUCAUUUGAUUUUUUUUGAUUUUUUUUUAAAUUUUUUGAGGAUAGAAGGGUUUACAUCAGAAAGUAAGACAAUAAGGUAAAACAUCCGGAUCAUACCCUGAGAUAAUCGGGACGAAGAAAGGAUAGCAAGACUGGCUACUAAGACUCCCGUCUGAUGGGGAACUUUCCUGCUUGGCAACAAUGUUUUUGGCUUUUCUUCUGUCUCGACAAUGGCUGCAAUGGCCUACAGUGCCAGAUGAAAUUCCUCAUCUUCACAAAUCGUUCCGACUAUUGGCCCACUGUUGUGUGCAGGCAACAGAUUGUUCAUCAUAUCAAGGGCUUCUUCAUCCUUAAAACCAAUUCUUUCAGCUUCAAUCAAAUCUUUAACUACCCUUUUGAGGGUCCAACAGUCCUUUGUAUUGUGUCCCACUACUACCGAGUGGUAUUCACAUCUAGCAUCAGCUGGGUACGCUGGGGACUCGGGGUUCAGCCGGUUCGGGGCCAUUGACUACAAUAGAUCUAGCCUGAUUAGCUUUUGGAACAAGCUUGAAUACGAUUCACCAAUAUGGGUGAACUGAUUCUUUCUGAAAGGCUCUCUUGGUAGAGGACUGUAUUGGGGAUCAUUUGAUUGAGGAUUAUAUGGAGCUUGGUAAGGAUGGGCAUUUUUGGUGGGUGGAGCUCGGUUUUGUGCAUAAUGUUGUGGUCGCGAGUAAGGUUGCACGUUCAUCACUGCACAGGGAGGCGGUGCCACGGCAUAAACAAUAUCUUGAAAGGGAUAAUAGUGUAGUGGGACCAUAGGAGGCACAUAUACUUGGUUGAAUAACCUUCGGGACCCCCUCAAGCUGGAAGCCAUCAUGGCUCCUUCUUCUCUCCCAUUUCCAUUUAUCAAACCAUCUGAACCAUUUUUAACAUCUGGUGAUGUGGCUUUAAAAGCAGCAUGACUCAAGAUUCGGCCCGUUUUUAAACUGUUUUCAACCAUUUCCCCAAUUUUGAUAGCCUCAGCGAACGACUUUCCCACAGCAGACAUCAUGUUCUGGAAGUAGUUAACAUCUUGGGCCUGCAGAAAGACCGUGACCAUUUCAAUUUCGUCUAUUGGAGGCUUUACCCUGACAGCUUGCUCAUGCCAUUUGAAAGCAUAUUCGCGGAAGCUUUCCGCGGUUUUCUUUUUCAAAUUGGACAAGGAUUUUCUGUUGGGAGCGAUGUCCACAUUAUAUUGGAACUGGCGGACAAAAUCUCAAGCCAUAUUGUCCCACACAUGCCAAUGAGUAAUUUCUUGAUCCGUAUACCACUCAGAAGCAAAUCCGGAGAGGCUUUCCGCAAAAUAGGCCAUUAGCAGCUCCUCUUUUCCACCAACACCCCAAGAUGGUUACAAUAUCGUUUCAGAUGAGCGACUGGGACUCCGUACCCAUCGUACUUUUCAAAUUUUGGCAUCUUGAAGCCAGCUGACAAGUGGACAUGGGGAAACAUACAGAGGUCAGAGUAUGAGACACUCUUUUGGCCACUUAGACCUUGCAUGUUUUACAAGAUUUGUUCCAGGGUCUUCAUCUUCCGAGCCAUUUCCUCUUUCUCGGGAUUUUUAACAACCUUUUCUUUCUCCACUGAGAGAUCAUAUUGUGGAGGUUGAGUGAAAGAGUACGGGGUCACAUAUGUAUUUCUGGUUGAAGCUACGGACCCUGAAAGAUGAACAUUGGAGGCAGUGCUCUUGAAGCCAGUGCUUGGGGGAGAACCACAGAAGGCAUGCCAAGAUCAUUGGAGGGCAUUGGAGGGCGCCCGCAUGGGAUGAGCGAGUUGGGCACAGGGGCAUUGGUAACCUCACCUGACCUGGGAAUCAAUUCAGGGAACCCAGGGAUUGCACUUGGCGGUUCCCUACCACUAGACCAGACGUCCCAUAUUUCCAAUAUGCAGAGAUGCAACAUCUUAUUCUCUUCAGCAGUUGCUGAUUAUAGCUGCAGAAUAGCCGAUGUCGGGCUAUCCUCAGGACCGAUGAUUGGUAGAUUGCUUGUAGAGGCCAUCUGCGCCUUUGGAUCUUGUGAAGGAGGGGAGGCUAGACUACUAACAAAACCAACCACCAAAACUUGGCUAAUUUGCACACGCAACAACCUUGUUAGUUUUGAGACAUUUAACAUAUUGGAAAUCGCACGUUGGGAUGCAAUGCACCUAACAGUUAAACGCUUCUACCAUGUGUUUGAAUGGUUGCAUGUUUCAUCCCGACCUUAACUAACUCUUCAGUAUGUACCUCUUUUCUUUUAUUUCUGGCUCUAUUUAAUCACUCUUGAUUUUCUCAUUUUGUUUUUGCCGCUCUUUUAUUUUGGCACUCUCUUUUCUUUUUUGUUUAUUUCACUCUUUUAUUUCUUGUCGCUCUCUCUUUUUUUCCUUUUUUUCACUCUUUUUUUUUCACUCAAUUUUUCUUUCUCUUUUUUUUUCAAUUUAUUUUCACUCAAUUAAUUUUAAGGCUAUGAUCGAAUCCGAUGGGGAUUGCCUACGUAUUAUGACGCCGCAUGAAUCAGAUUUUGCGUAGUUCGGGAAGAUGAGGAACAAGGUAAAUGAGGUAACACUUUUUUUUUGACUUUUCGAAAGAAAUGCUUUAAAAUAAGAAAGAAAAUAUUUUUUUUUGGAUUUUUGAUUUUGAUUUUUCUUUUAUUUUUUUUUGAAAGAUAGACUUCUAAAAAUUUCUUAUCUUUUGAUUUGAAUUUUGGGAAUUUUAAACAUAAAAAAAAAUAUUUUUUUUUUGAAUUUUUAUUUAUUUUCUAGAAGAACAGAAGUUACAGGUAGAAUAGUAAAGUAUUGGGUGGGAAGCACAUGCUCCAAGCUUCUGAAUAGUAAAGCAUUGGAUGAAAGAUAAAACUCAUAGAAAGAAGGGAAUGUCUUCUGCAGUUUAGUGUUUUGAGAAAAUGCCAUCAUGUUUUCCAAAACCCUUCCUUUUUUAUUCUUUUUUUUCUUUUUAUUUCAUUCAUUUCUUUAUAAUUUCCCACAUAGUAAUCUGAGUCUUUCAUUGCACUCAUAUAUAGAAAGUGUAUACACUACUACUACUAACUAGUACUAUAUUAUAACCCUAUAUGUAUAUGGGCUAAUUAUAUGUCAUUACGUUAUUUCACUGGUAAUUUUAUAUACAUGUCACUUUAAUCUGAUAGAAAAAAAAUAUUACUCUAUCAGCUAACACUGAACAGAAAUAUGCUCUUUUCGUGAUAAACGUGCCAAAACAUUAAACGCCAAUGGUAAUAGGGAUUGAUAGGAUUACCUUUGAUUAUUAUUGUUGGACACAAAAAUCAUGUGAACUACAUAUAUUGUUGAGUUUUUAUUAGUCACGAGAAAAAAUCUAAGGGCUCGUUGGUCACCGGGAGUUAUAUGAAAAUUUGAAUUUAAAUUCGAUCAGACCAUAACAUAAUGGGAUCAAUUACUGGAAACUAACAAACUAAAAAAAAUAUAGCAUAUGAUGCCACAAUCCUCUUUAGUUCAUUUAUCCAAUACUCAUCAAAUAAUGAGAGCAAUCAACAUAUAUUGUUAUGCUAGCAUGAGGAUGGACAAAUCCGACAGAAGAAUCAUAUAAAAUGAGUAAUGAAGUCACGAUUUAUCCGGAGUUCAAUUCCUCUUAACUUAAACAGAAUAAGUUCAUGAACAAGCGAAAUCCAGUAGGAAUCAUACGCAAUUAAAUUCAAUUGUGUAUAAAAUUGUGCUAACCUUUCUUCAAAGCACAACUAAACAUGAUUCACAAAGCGAGUUUCCCAUAAAUCUUUAUGCACUGUUUUGAAGUAAGAACAACAAGCAAACUGGACCGAAAGCCAAAUAAAUGCAAGAUGCUUCAAAUUAGAGCCAAGCACAGCAAGAAAAUAGAUCCUUUAGCAGCAAUGACAGUACGGCGAUCCACGGCUCAAAACCAUUUUCAGAAACCUCAAGAAGAAGGAAGUCGAACUCCAUUUUUAAGAAUCAAAAUCAAAGAAGAAGGAGAUGGAAUUUUGCAUUCUAGGAGUGAAGGAGUGGAUAAUAGGGAAAGUUGCGCUCGAAAAAAAGGGGGGAGGGGAUAUUUUGAUUCUUUGAUGUUAAAGAGAGAGAGUGAGAGACGUUAUUCUUUUUCUGGAGAGCUCCCCUCUGUUGAAGGUGAGCGACAUUUCUG
rnacentral:lncRNA from 1 species